rnacentral:rRNA from 1 species
UGAAGCGGCAACAGCUCAAAUUUGAAAUCUGGCCUCGGCCCGAGUUGUAAUUUGCAGAGGAUGUUUCUGGCGCGGUGCCUUCCGAGUUCCCUGGAACGGGACGCCACAGAGGGUGAGAGCCCCGUAUGGUUGGACACUAAGCCUGUGUGAAACUCCUUCGACGAGUCGAGUAGUUUGGGAAUGCUGCUCAAAAUGGGAGGUAAAUCUCUUCUAAAGCUAAAUACCGGCCAGAGACCGAUAGCGCACAAGUAGAGUGAUCGAAAGAUGAAAAGCACCUUGAAAAGGGGGUUAAACAGUACGUGAAAUUGUUGAAAGGGAAGCGCUUGUGACCAGACUUGCGCCGGGCGGCUCAUCCGGGGUUCUCCCCGGUGCACUCCGCCCGGCUCAGGCCAGCAUCGGUUCUCGUUGGGGGAUAAGAACGGCAGGAACGUGGCCCUCCUUCGGGUGGGUGUUAUAGCCUGCCGUACGAUACCCUGACGGGGACCGAGGUUCGCGCUCCGCAAGGAUGCUGGCGUAAUGGUCAUCAGCGACCCGUCUUGAAACACGGACCAAGGAGUCGUCCAUUAGAGCGAGCGUUUGGGUGUCAAACCCGCACGCGUAAUGAAAGUGAAAUUAGGUGAGAGCUUCGGCGCAUCAUCGACCGAUCCUGAUGUUCUCGGAUGGAUUUGAGUAAGAGUUUUAACGGACGGACCCGAAAGACAGUGAACUAUGCUUGUAUAGGGUGAAGCCAGAGGAAACUCUGGUGGAGGCUCGCAGCGGUUCUGACGUGCAAAUCGAUCGUC